UUUGUGCAAAGUUGUAAAAAAAUUGACAAUUAUUAGUUUAUUUCUUUACAUAUUUUUUAACUAAGAGAUAAUUUGUGUCUUCCUAAGAUAAGGUUCUUCUUGCAUAGUAUUCUGUAAGAGGAAGAAACAACACCAAAUGACAAUAUUUAGGGUUAAGAAUCUAAAUUCUUAACUGGCCCAAAGAAUAUGAGUGGUGAUACUCUACUUAGUUGUUGCACUUGUCAUUCACAUGCCCUACAUUUAAGGAUGUAGUAGCUUGAUGAGGAAUCCCUAAUGAGGAGCCUGUAGAAUAUGUAUAUCAAUUAAGAACAGGGUUUUGUUUAACAAAUUUAUUUAAGCUUACAAAUGUAUCUAAUGUAUUUAUUUUAAUAAUAAUAAUAAUAAUAAUAAUAAUAAUUUCACUGAUGUCAAAAUCAAAACGCUGUAAGGAUUUUUUUUUUAAAAAAAUACCAAUAAAGUAAAAAUAAUAAUAACAUUGUAUCAAAUAAAACGCUCUUAUUUAGUGUCACAUACAUGCCUUUUUGAUGCAGAGGUUAAAUUUUCUCAGCAUCAAAAAUUUGAAACCACAUUCUGAAAAGGAGAAGGAGGAGAAAAGAAAUCACGUCAUACACAUACACAAACUUAUGUUUGACACAAAAGUGUGUUUGUAAGUAAAAUUUCCAUAGCAGAGUCCUCAUACAAGGGAUAGCACAUGUAUUGAUAAGUUGUAACAACAAACUUGAUGCAAUAUCUUUGUUGAUAACACUGCAAAAACAUUCAUGCCUAUCAUAGGAUAUUAUUAGUACCCAACAGAAGAAAGUGCAAAGAAUAUCAUUAGUUUCUUUCCACUAAAGACAGUGAGUUUAUUAAAUUAAACAUACAAAUGAGUAUAAAAAAAUCCAUUCAAAAUUGUAAUUUUACUGGGUAGCUAUUCAUCUUUUCAUUUCUACUCAUGCUUUUAAAGUUACGAGUGACCAUUUUCCAACUACAUAAUCAAUUUCAGUAUUGAGCCAUUUUUUUCUGUCUUUCCAUUUUUUUUAGAAAAAAUAAACAAUCAUUGAUAAUAAACAAGUAAAUGAAUGAAUAUACCCAUAAAAAUAAAAUCAAAAAUAAAAUCAAUUUAAGUGAUAAUACUCAUUCCUAACAAUCAUAUCAUAUUUUGGUUUAAAUCGCAUGCUCAUUAUCUAAUCUUAUUGAUUCAGUCAACUUGAUUCAUGUUCACAUUCUUAUUUUCAUGAGGAGAAAAUCAAUAGCUUUUAUACCCAUCGCACAACACUCUUUUCAUCUUUCUGGAUUUCAUGAAUUUAUUUACAGUAUGAUAUGUAACUAAUGAAGAAAAUUUCUUAAUUUAAAUCAAGAAAUGUCCGUUUAAAAUGUAAUUCUAUGAAACACCACAAAACUCCAAGUAUUUUUCUGAAGGAACUAUUUAUAAGCAUCAUUUGUUUUCUUAGUAGAAACCAGACAGUACAACAACUAUAACUUAGUACUAUACAAAAAAUCAAAUUUAAAUAAUGAAUAAGAUUAAAACCACCUAAAAUGUCGAAUAUCCAUUUCGUACAUGAUGUUAUGAAAAUUAGAGUCUAGGAUACUAAAAUUGCGGUUAUAUUAAUUAUAUUUAAUAAGAAUUAAAAACUUCAAAAAAUAUGUCAAAGUGGAUAGUAGUAGCAGUAAUAAAAUUGUGGUUGCAUUAGCCAUAUAUAUAUAUAUAUAUAUAUAUAUAUAAUAUUACAAAUAUAAUGUAAUUAUAUAUUUAUUCAUAAAAUUACCAUGUGUUUAUAAUGAAUGUGUGAUUUGAGCCACUAUUAUUGGUCAAGCAAACAAAUCAUCUUACUAUCACUUGAGUAAGAAAAUUAUUGCAUAUGACAUUUCUUCAGAAAAUGAAGUUUCUUGCAAUCACAUGAUUAUGUUGACAAAAUUAUACUUAUAAAAAACUUGUACAAAAAAUAAUAUAUAUACAUAUUCAUGUGUUUUAACUAGGUACACACUUAUAUAAGUAUACUUAUAAGUGUAAAUUUAAUAAUACUAUUUCAAUUGAAUAACAUUAUAAUAAUUUAUUAAAACUUAAAUACAUAAUAAACUUAAUAAUGGACCAUACAUUAAUAAUACAAGUUGCAUAUGUACAUUAAAGAUUCUUUCAAAAGCAAGUGAAUCUAUCUAGAUCCCAUCAUUACAGCUAUGCGUAGAAAUAAAGAAAAGAGAAUAUAUA
rnacentral:lncRNA from 1 species